rnacentral:snoRNA from 1 species
GCUCUAGAUGAUGAAGAACUAGUGGCGCACAUCUGCAAUGGUCUUGAUGCCGAUUACAAUCCAGUGGUGACAUCAGUCACUACUAGAUUGGAUCCCAUCUCGAUUCCUGACCUGUAUGCUCAGCUGCUCAGUUUUGAGA